UAACACAUGCAAGUCGAGCGGAAAGGCCACUUCGGUGGUACUCGAGCGGCGAACGGGUGAGUAACACGUGAGUAAUCUGCCCCUGGCUUUGGGAUAGCCACCGGAAACGGUGAUUAAUACCGGAUAUGACAUGGACUCGCAUGGGUUUGUGUGGAAAGUUUUUCGGCCAGGGAUGUGCUCGCGGCCUAUCAGCUUGAUGGUGAGGUAAUGGCUCACCAUGGCUUCGACGGGUAGCCGGCCUGAGAGGGUGACCGGUCACACUGGGACUGAGACACGGCCCAGACUCCUACGGGAGGCAGCAGUGGGGAAUAUUGGACAAUGGGCGGAAGCCUGAUCCAGCAACGCCGCGUGAGGGAUGACGGCCUUCGGGUUGUAAACCUCUUUCAGUACCGACGGAGCGCAAGUGACGGUAGGUACAGAAGAAGCACCGGCCAACUACGUGCCAGCAGCCGCGGUAAUACGUAGGGUGCGAGCGUCGUCCGGAAUUAUUGGGCGUAAAGGGCUCGUAGGCGGUUUGUCGCGUCGGGAGUGAAAACGCCGUGCUUAACACGGCGCUUGCUUUCGAUACGGGCAGACUAGAGGUAUGCAGGGGAGAACGGAAUUCCUGGUGUAGCGGUGAAAUGCGCAGAUAUCAGGA
rnacentral:rRNA from 1 species